rnacentral:rRNA from 1 species
UCGAGAAUAUUCGUCAAUGGGCGAAAGCCUGAACGAGCGACGCCGCGUGCAGGAAGAAGGCCUUCGGGUCGUAAACUGCGGUAGUAUGGGAACAAAUUAUUGAGUGUACCAUACGGAAAGAGGUGGGUAACUACGUGCCAGCACCAGCGGUAAUACGUAGACCUCAAGCGUUAUCCGGAUUUAUUGGGCGUAAAGCGUGUGUAGGAGGUUUCGUGCGUCUUCUGUUAAAGCCCACCGCCUAACGGUGGAACUGCAGAGGAUACGGCGAAGCUGGAGGGAGUUAGAGGUGCAUGGAACUCACGGUGUAGGGGUGAAAUCCGUUGAUAUCGUGGGGAACACCAAAGGCGAAGGCAGUGCACUAGGACUUUCCUGACUCUGAGACACGAAAGCGUGGGGAGCAAAAAGG